rnacentral:lncRNA from 1 species
UGUGUUUGGUUGCCUGUGUAGUUUCACACUGCAUCGCAUGAAUGAUCCGGGCUGAGUCUAGCCUGGCUGGGCUGAUGCAAAGAUGGACUGAGAUGCAUGUUUGGUGGACUGUAGGAUAUAUAUGCACCUGGGAUGCUGUAUACAACAGAUAUUAUUUGGUAGACUGCAUUAGAGCAUCUACAGAUGCUCUUAGAACUUAAUUUCAUGGACAAAGAAAACAAGCAAAACAAAUCAAAUCUGAACCUGCUGCUGCUUCCUAGCGCAUUAUACAUGCUGAUGCUCUUCGUGGAUUAAACAAGUCGCACGACACUGUGCCACAUGUCGGUAUAGUUGUAGCUCGUCGUGGUGUCCAUGGCAAGCACAUCGUGGUUGCCUCCGCGCGAGCUUCAAUCGCCACCGCACCCGUCCUCUCCAUGACGAUGUCGCGACACGCUGGGUGUUCCUGUCGAGCCGGCUCCUGCUGAGAACACGUCCGGCAGCCGGGAUUGAGCGCGGACAGACGGGCGGGCGGUGGUGUCGUAGCGGACGAGGAAUCUCG